AGAAUUCUUCUGAAUGGUGUGAAAGAAGCAGCUCUUCAUGAAAGCAGGACUUGAACAUGCAUAUAAUCUUUGGCUUACUUCAAACUAAUCGUUCUUAUAUGCUCUAAAAAUGGCACGGCUACUAAAUCUUCACUGGAUGUUGGUUUUCAAGACAUUUAUUCUCUCUUUGGGGCUUUUGCUUCAGAACCCAGUUUGUGAUGCUGUUUGUGAUGCUGUUUCUGAUGCACCAGAGUUUAAAAAGAUACUGUUUAUCGGUGGUAAAAUUGAUAAUGGUACAACAUUUCCAUCAACUGCUGUUAAGAAAAAGUUUUGUUUUAACAUCCAGGAAAACAGAAACAAUGAAG